rnacentral:rRNA from 1 species
GCUUGUCUCAAAGAUUAAGCCAUGCAUGUCUAAGUAUAAGUAUUAUACAGCGAAACUGCGAAUGGCUCAUUAAAACAGUUAUGGUUUAUUUGAUAAUCGAAUUUUACAUGGAUAACCGUGGUAAUUCUAGAGCUAAUACAUGCUGGUGUGCCUGACUUUUCGGAAGGGCGGUAUUUAUUAGAUGGAAACCAAUGCGGGGCAACCCGGUAUAUGGUGAUUCAUAAUAACUUUCGGAUCGAUUUAUCGAUGCAUCAUUCAAGUUUCUGCCCUAUCAGCUUUGGAUGGUAGGGUAUUGGCCUACCAUGGCUUUAACGGGUAACGGAGAAUUAGGGUUCGAUUCCGGAGAGGGAGCCUGAGAAAUGGCUACCACAUCCAAGGAAGGCAGCAGG